GCCAAGCAGCCGCGGUAAUUCCAGCUCCAAUAGCGUAUACUAAAGUUGUUGCGGUUAAAAAGCUCGUAGUUGGAUCUUGGAAUGUGUUCAAGCGGGUCAGCUUCUGGCUGUGCGCUGCUUGACGUGUUCUUCUAUUUGGUUUUGGUGCGGUGCGCUUAACUGCGUGUCGCUCCCGGCCGAAACGUUUACCUUGAAAAAAUUAGAGUGUUCAAAGCAGACCUGUUUGAGUCUGAAUAUUCGUGCAUGGAAUAAUGAAAUAUGAAUUCGGUUCUAUUUUGUUGGUUUUCGGAACUCGGGUUAAUGAUCAAGAGGGACAGACGGGGGCAUUCGUACUCUGCCGUUAGAGGUGAAAUUCUUGGAUCGGCGGAAGACGCGCAACUGCGAAAGCAUUUGCCAAGAAUGUUUUCUUUAAUCAAGAACGAUAGUCGGAGGUUCGAAGACGAUCAGAUACCGUCCUAGUUUCGACUGUAAACUAUGCCAGCUAACGAUCAGACAGAGUUCUCUACGACUUGUCUGGCAGUUUCCGGGAAACCAAAGCGUUUGGGUUCCGGGGGAAGUAUGGUUGCAAAGCUGAAACUUAAAGGAAUUGACGGAAGGGCACCACCAGGAGUGGAGCCUGCGGCUUAAUUUGACUCAACACGGGGAAACUCACCCGGCCCGGACACAGUGAGGAUUGACAGAUUGAGAGUUCUUUCUUGAUUCUGUGGGUGGUGGUGCAUGGCCGUUCUUAGUUGGUGGAGCGAUUUGUCUGGUUAAUUCCGAUAACGAACGAGACUCUGGCAUGUUAAAUAGUCGCGGAAGUGCGUAUGCACUUGCCGAAUUGACUUCUUAGAGGGACUAGUGAUUUUAAUUCACACGAGAUUGAGCAAUAACAGGUCUGUGAUG
rnacentral:rRNA from 1 species